UUAGUGUGUCGUCACUGAAGUUCAGUGAGCUGGGAAAGAGACACUUAGACGUGUGUAGGGGAAAAAGGCAAACGGCAGGGUUUCGGGCCGAGCGCGGCUAAGGAAAACUGACAACCUGAGGGAACAACAGAAAUGUCAUUUAUUUUUGAUUGGAUCUAUAGAGGGUUCAGCAGCGUGCUACAGUUUUUAGGUUUAUAUAAAAAAUCUGGGAAACUAGUAUUUCUCGGGUUGGAUAAUGCUGGAAAAACUACGCUCUUGCAUAUGCUAAAAGAUGAUAGACUAGGACAACAUGUUCCCACGUUACAUCCAACAUCAGAGGAGUUGACAAUUGCUGGAAUGACAUUCACAACCUUUGAUCUUGGUGGCCAUGCACAAGCCAGAAGAGUUUGGAAGAAUUACCUGCCAGCUAUAAAUGGUGUUGUCUUUCUUGUGGACUGUGCGGAUCACCAGCGCCUUGAUGAAUCUAAAGUUGAGCUUGAUGCACUCUUAACGGAUGAGACCAUUUCCAAUGUUCCAGUUCUUAUUUUGGGGAAUAAGAUUGACCGACCUGAAGCCAUCAGUGAGGACCAACUGCGAGGAAUCUUCGGUCUUCAUGGCCAGACUACUGGAAAGGGAAACGUUUCACUCAAGGAGCUGAAUGUAAGGCCCGUGGAGGUUUUCAUGUGCAGUGUGUUGAAGAAACAGGGUUACGGGGAAGGCUUCCGAUGGCUGUCCCAGUACAUUGACUGAUCCAUCAGGGGGCAGAUAUGCCUUCUUGCUUACUCUAGAGUUUGCAAGAGGAAAUUGUGGGUUUGGGUGGGGGCCCAGUGGGUAAAGGAAUGGAGCAUGUGCAGUGGUAGGAUCCCGAGUUAUGGAAAACAGUGAAGCUACAGUUUAUUCCCUCUGCAUCGAGUGUUUGACUUUCCCAGUCAUAGACAUUUUUUCUCCACUUAACUGUGGACUUUUACAUGGUCUCAGGCAAUAAUUGACUUGACUGAUGUACUGUUUGUUUUCUCAACAUUUUCAGGAAAUUUGUCUAGCUGUGUAGAAAAAAGGCUAGAAUUUUUAAUGGCUGCCAAUGUCUGUGAAGGCCUUGAACAGAGACAGCUGUGGUCAGUGGUGGUGGGGUUCUGGAAGGCUCUCAGAACAUUUAAUCCUCAUCUGCUUUGCGUGUCCAAAGCUCAUUGUCUGUUUCGAAAUGCAGUUUUGUUUGCAAUGAAUAAAUGCAAAUGUCAGAUCCCAAGGCUUCAGAUGGAUCUAAAUUGUUCUCCUACUUUUUCGGUCUUCACUGACGUUUGGUAAAUGCACCAUUCACUUGUCCACAUCGGAUGUAAAGGGGUCUAAAGGUGGUCCUGUCCCGCUCGGGGCUGCUGUGUCCAGGUCACGGGUGACCUUCUCCGUCAGGUCGCCGCCAUCCGAACCAUUGACCCGGGUGCGAAGGAGCACCGGGGAAAGAGAGCUUGGCAACGACCUGCUUGGCAGCUCUUUUGUUCACCGAGUCUGAUCUCAUUCUGUUCUGCCUCUCCCGCAUAUCAUUCCUUGCAACUGAGUAACUCACCACAGUAACUUGUCUUAAUUUCGUUUCGAAACAAUCUAAUAAAAUCCAACCAAUGCGAUCAAUGAACCCAUAAUGGAGGAAGGUCAAGUGAGAGCUCCUGAUUUGGAAAAAUUAGAGGAAAAAAUUUGGAUUUAUAGCCUCUAGAUUGGUGUGGACAAUAUUUGUGAUCUACCUGUGCUUUUAGAGGUUAGUUCAUUAAAAAUACAACAAAUACACACACAUUUU